rnacentral:rRNA from 1 species
CAAUAGCGUAUAUUAAAGUUGUUGCAGUUAAAAAGCUCGUAGUUGGAUUUCUGGUAGGAGCGACCGUGCCGAACUUGAUUGUUCGAGUAUUGUGUUGUCUUCAGCCAUCCUCGUGGAGAACUUUUCUAACAUUAACUUGUUGGGAUUGGGACCCGCGUCGUUUACUGUGAAAAAAUUAGAGUGUUUAAAGCAGGCAUUAGCUUGAAUACAUUAGCAUGGAAUAAUAAGAUAGGACUUUGGUACUAUUUUGUUGGUUUGCAUACCAAAUUAAUGAUCAACAGGAACAGUUUGAGGAUAUUCGUAUGAACAUGUCAGAGGUGAAAUUCUUGGAUUUUGAUCAGACGAACUACUGCAAAAGCAUUUAUCAAGGAUGUUUUCAUUAA